GAAACUUGCAUCCUGAUACUGCCAGGACCUUGAGUUAAUGGAGGGUUAGCUGGAAUUCUCGGUUGUAGCAGUGAAAUGGUCGUGGAUAUCGAGAGGAACACUCGUGGCGAAGGCUGAGCUAGCUGUGACAUUUACUGUACGUCUGAGGUCUCGAAUGGCCAGGGUAGCGAAAUGGGAUUAGAUACCCCUUGUAGUCCUGGCAAGUAAACGGUGUGCGCUUGUGUUUGAGGGUGUUUCGACCCCCCUUGUGCCGGAGCUAACGCGUUAAGCGCACCGCCUGGGGAAGUACGGUCGCAAGACUUAAAAUACUCAAAUGAAUUGACGG
rnacentral:rRNA from 2 species